rnacentral:rRNA from 1 species
GAUGAACGCUGGCGGCGUGCCUAAUACAUGCAAGUCGAGCGAACAGACGAGGAGCUUGCUCCUUUGACGUUAGCGGCGGACGGGUGAGUAACACGUGGGUAACCUACCUAUAAGACUGGGAUAACUUCGGGAAACCGGAGCUAAUACCGGAUAAUAUUUCGAACCGCAUGGUUCGAUAGUGAAAGAUGGCUUUGCUAUCACUUAUAGAUGGACCUGCGCCGUAUUAGCUAGUUGGUAAGGUAACGGCUUACCAAGGCAACGAUACGUAGCCGACCUGAGAGGGUGAUCGGCCACACUGGAACUGAGACACGGUCCAGACUCCUACGGGAGGCAGCAGUAGGGAAUCUUCCGGGAUGGGCGAAGGCCUGACGGAGCAACGCCGAGUGAGUGAUGAAGGUCUUCGGAUCGUAAAACUCUGUUAUUAGGGAAGAACAAACGUGUAAGUAACUGUGAACGUCUUGACGGUACCUAAUCAGAAAGCCACGGCUAACUACGUG